rnacentral:rRNA from 1 species
UUGGCCCUACGGGAGGCAGCAGUGGGGAAUAUUGCGCAAUGGGGGAAACCCUGAUGCAGCGACGCCGCGUGGGCGAGGAAGUACCUCGGUAUGUAAAGCCCUAUCAGCAGGGAAGAAACAGGACAGUACCUGACUAAGAAGCCCCGGCUAACUACGUGCCAGCAGCCGCGGUAAUACGUAGGGGGCAAGCGUUAUCCGGAUUUACUGGGUGUAAAGGGAGCGUAGGUGGCAGGGCAAGUCAGAUGUGAAAACCCGGGGCUCAACUCCGGGAGUGCAUUUGAAACUGUCCAGCUAGAGUGCAGGAG